GGCAGCAGCCGCGGGAACACCGGCAGCUCUAGUGGUAGCAAUUUUAUUGGGCCUAAAGCGUCCGUAGCCGGUUUAAUAAGUCUCUGGUGAAAUCCUGCAGCUUAACUGUGGGAAUUGCUGGAGAUACUAUUAGACUUGAGACCGGGAGAGGUUAGAGGUACUCCCAGGGUAGAGGUGAAAUUCUGUAAUCCUGGGAGGACCGCCUGUUGCGAAGGCGUCUAACUGGAACGGUUCUGACGGUGAGGGACGAAAGUUAGGGGCGCGAACCGGAUUAGAUACCCGGGUAGUCCUAACUGUAAACGAUGCGGACUUGGUGUUGGGGUGGCUUUGAGCUGCUUCAGUGCCGAAGGGAAGCUGUUAAGUCCGCCGCCUGGGAAGUACGGUCGCAAGACUGAAACUUAAGGAAUUGGCGGGGGAGCACCACAACGCGUGGAGCCUGCCGGUUUAAUUGGAUUCAACGCCGGACAUCUCACCAGAGGCGACAGCUGUAUGAUAGCCAGGUUGAUGACUUUGCUUGACUAGCUGAGAAGAGGUGCAUGG
rnacentral:rRNA from 1 species